AUUGAACGCUGGCGGCAGGCUUAACACAUGCAAGUCGAGCGGGGUGAUGGUGCUUGCACUAUCACUUAGCGGCGGACGGGUGAGUAAUGCUUAGGAAUCUGCCUAUUAGUGGGGGACAACAUCUCGAAAGGGAUGCUAAUACCGCAUACGUCCUACGGGAGAAAGCAGGGGGUCACUGGUGACCUUGCGCUAAUAGAUGAGCCUAAGUCGGAUUAGCUAGUUGGUGGGGUAAAGGCCUACCAAGGCGACGAUCUGUAGCGGGUCUGAGAGGAUGAUCCGCCACACUGGGACUGGGACACGGCCCAGACUCCUACGGGAGGCAGCAGUGGGGAAUAUUGGACAAUGGGGGGAACCCUGAUCCAGCCAUGCCGCGUGUGUGAAGAAGGCCUUAUGGUUGUAAAGCACUUUAAGCGAGGAGGAGGCUCUUUUGGUUAAUACCCAAGAUGAGUGGACGUUACUCGCAGAAUAAGCACCGGCUAACUCUGUGCCAGCCGCCGCGGUAA
rnacentral:rRNA from 1 species